UACGUAGGGGGCAAGCGUUGUCCGGAUUUAUUGGGCGUAAAGAGCGUGUAGGCGGCCAUACAGGUCAGCUGUGAAAACUCGAGGCUCAACCUCGAGACGUCGGUUGAAACCGUAUGGCUAGAGUCCGGAAGAGGAGAGUGGAAUUCCCGGUGUAGCGGUGAAAUGCGCAGAUAUCGGGAAGAACACCCAUGGCGAAGGCAGCUCGCUGGGACGUUACUGACGCUGAGACGCGAAAGCGUGGGGAGCAAACAGG
rnacentral:rRNA from 1 species